rnacentral:lncRNA from 1 species
GCUCUUUUGGUGGAAAGUGGAAUUAUAGCUUUACCUACACUGGGAAUACAGGCUGUGUUAUCUGGCAAGCCAGGCUAGUGUUUGGAUUGUCAUUUCAUUAAUCUGUUUUAAAUUCUGAACAGGAAUAUUUGUAAAAAGGAAGGCAAAGGUACAGUCAUACAUCGUUUAACAACUGGGAUAUGUUCUGAGAAAGGCAUCAUGAGGAAUAUCAGCCCUGAGCUAACAUCUGCUGCCAAUCCUCCUCUUUUCACUGAAGAAGACUGGCCCUGAGCUAACAUCCAUGCCCAUCUUCCUCUACUUUAUACGUGGGAUGGCUACCACAGCAUGGUUUGCCAAGCGGUGCCAUGUCCGCACCUGGGAUCCGAACCCGCGAACCCUGGGCCACCUAAGCUGAAUGUGCGCACUUAACCGCUGCGCCACUGCACCGGCCUCUGGCAGGUUUAAUUAGUAGUUUUUCACAGCAACUUUGAGCUCUGCUGGUUUGGAGAUCUAGUUCCCAAAGGAGGAAUGCUUCUACCAAAGGCACAAAAAUAAGUCCAUUGAUUUACCAGAUCGCUUGCUCUGAGGGGAAGCCAGCCUCCAUGUUGUGAAGCUAUUUAAGUAGCCCUGUGGAGAAGAAAGGACACCCCCUGCCAAGAACCAGCAUCAUUUUACCUGCAAUGUGAGUGAGCCAUCUUGGAAUGCAUCCUCUAGCUCUCCCCAAGUCUGUGAUGACUGCAGCCCAGCCAACAUCUUGGUCGUGAUUUCAUGGGAGGCAGAACUGCUCAGUUAAGCCACUCCUGAAUUCCCAACCCACAGAAAC